rnacentral:rRNA from 1 species
UACAGAGGGGGCAAGCGUUAUUCGGAAUUAUUGGGCGUAAAGGGCGCGUAGGCGGCUUUGCAAGUGACGGGUGAAAUCCCUCGGCUUAACCGAGGAACUGCCUGUCAAACUGCAUGGCUUGAGACCGGGAGAGGUGAGUGGAAUUCCCAGUGUAGCGGUGAAAUGCGUAGAUAUCAGGAGGAACACCGGUGGCGAAGGCGGAUCUCUGGGCCGAUACUGACGCUGAGGAGCGAAAGCGUGGGGAGCGAACAGG